AACGCGAAGAACCUUACCUAGGUUUGACAUCCCUCGAACCCUCCUGAAAGGGAGGGGUGCCCUUCGGGGAGCGGGGUGACAGGUGCUGCAUGGCUGUCGUCAGCUCGUGCCGUGAGGUGUUGGGUUAAGUCCCGCAACGAGCGCAACCCUUGUCCUUAGUUGCCAGCGAGUAAAGUCGGGCACUCUAGGGAGACCGCCUCGGUCAACGGGGAGGAAGGUGGGGACGACGUCAAGUCAUCAUGGCCCUUACGCCUAGGGCUACACACGUACUACAAUGGCGGAUACAAAGGGUAGCGAAGCCGCAAGGUGAAGCCAAUCUCAAAAAAUCCGUCCCAGUCCGGAUCGGGGUCUGCAACUCGACCCCGUGAAGUCGGAAUCGCUAGUAAUCGGAGAUCAGCAUGCUCCGGUGAAUACGUUCCCGGGUCUUGUACACACCG
rnacentral:rRNA from 1 species